GACGAACGCUGGCGGCGUGCUUAACACAUGCAAGUCGAACGGAAAGGCCCUGCUUUUGUGGGGUGCUCGAGUGGCGAACGGGUGAGUAACACGUGAGUAACCUGCCCUUGACUUUGGGAUAACUUCAGGAAACUGGGGCUAAUACCGGAUAGGAGCUCCUGCUGCAUGGUGGGGGGUGGAAAGUUUCGGCGGGUGGGGAUGGACUCGCGGCUUUUCAGCUUGUUGGUGGGGGAGUGGCUUACCAAGGCUUGGACGGGUAGCCGGCCUGAGAGGGUGACCGGCCACAUUGGUACUGAGAUACGGCCCAGACUCCUACGGGAGGCAGCGGUGGGGAAUAUUGCACAAUGGGCGGGAGCCUGAUGCAGCAACGCCGCGUGCGGGAUGACGGCCUUCGGGUUAUGAACCGCUUUCGCCUGUGACGAAGCGUGAGUGACGGUAAUGGGUAAAGAAGCACCGGCUAACUACGUG
rnacentral:rRNA from 1 species